CAGGUCACCUAAUAAUUUCUUUUAGUUGAGAGGAUUUUUUUUGGGUGGUGGAGACUCCUAAAAUUUGUCCCCUUUUAAUGCAUUUACCCCGCCGAGCUUAAGAUUUUUGAUGUAAAAAAGUAUUUUUGUUGGAACGGUGGGUCGUUUCAUUGAUUUCUCUUAAAAAAAUUAUUUCAAUUGAAAUUUGGUUUUUCACAAUCCACGUUUUGAGUUCGUUAUCCUAGUCUGCGGCUUUGGGUAUGGUCUGGGCAGCGGGGAUAAUAUGAUAUUAUGACGCUUCAAGCCUUCAACACAGCCUUGGGCGGUCGGUGUACCUUUUGCCUCCAAACAAACAUAUCUAUGGGCACCGAUGUUUCUAAUUUAUGUUAUCGGCCAGCGGGCGAUCAAUAGAUGCCACUGUAGCCUCUAGUGGGCCGGAAGGAAUUGCGAACGACAGAGAAUCUGCUUCCAAAUCAAAGAAACAACCCACCAUUCUUCUUCCUUUUUAGACCCUAAUGUGGACCGAAUUCAUCGCUUUCUGCAGGUGGGUAUAUCAGGACAUGAUUGCUGAUCCCUUAUGGUGAAUUUUUCAUUACUGAAAACAAUUCACUUCUGAAGGCAUCUGAUACAAGUUGUGGAUCAACUGUCUUGUUGUUUUACGCUCUAAUGGGCGUUUGUUAUGCGUUUCUACAUGAGAGCCUCGCCUAGGACUAUGAUACAAAGUAUGGGCAAAAGCGAUAUCGCCUCAAAGAUGCCAUUCCUACUUUCCCUACUAGUGUUGCAGGGCCAAUUUUGACUAAUGGAAAUAUAUCUAUAUGUCAUGAGAAAACGCGGGCAUAAUGUUCAGGUCCACCAUUAAUUCUUUUCGAUAUCAUUGACUAAAUUUUUAUCUGCAGGACUGAAUCACCAAUCCUUGAGCAUAACUGUUUGCACCCAACUUAUCAUGACCUUGGUUUCAGGUAUUGUUAGGCUUUCUGGAAAGCUAAGACAUAGGCCUUUUAUGAAGAGCCCAAAACCCAGUUCUGCCAUUUUGAAGUUCAAAACUUAGCAGAAACGGAGAAGUCCGAAUCUAUCAAGAAGUUUACUGCAGCCUAGAUUCGGUUUUCAGCUUGUAUCUAGAGUUCUAGAAGUCCCAAGCCCAGGUGCGUUGGAAAGCUGAGAACGAGAUCUAAAACUUUCGUGAGGUUCUAACUCCAAAGUGUAUCGUUUUGGUGCUCUAAAUCUAGUUGGGAGUCGAGUAAUAAAAUCAGCCUAGAAUUCCGGAUUUCGGCAGCAGAUACGGGGGAAAUCUGUUUUAAAAUUCAAAAAAGGAGAAUCAGUUGGGAGAAGUGGGGGGAUGGCCAGCAGAUAACGAAGAAGAAAGCUCAGACAAUCUGGAAUUUCGAGAGGAAGAAAAGCCAGAAAUUCUAGGAGGAAAAAAAAAAUCAGAGAAAGAAAAAGAACUCUGUAUUUGCAAAAAUCCUCCGCUCCGUUCUUUCUCCCAGAAUUCCAGCUUUUUUUUUUCCUCCUAGAAUUCCUGGCUUUUUGGGGUGAUUUUUGGGUUCAUUUUGUGGACAUUGCUUCGAGAUGAGCUUGCUAAAAGGCCGGAGGACUUUUCUGUUGAUAAGCUGCAGGUUUUUUUCUCAUGACUUACCACACAUUCUUUUUGCAGAGACUUGACAGUCAUGAGCAGGCCUACAUAUGGUUUCUCUGUUGUGUAAUGUUACAGUCUCUCCUUGACCUUGCUUUGCGCAGCACUGCCUUCAGGUCCAUGUCAUGAGGACUUCUGUUGUGUGGAAAGAGCCUCAUUGCUCAAGAGACUGACAACACUUGGAUUUGGAAUGUGCUUCUCCACUGCAUAGAGACAAACUUGUUCCUGAUUGUGAUGACCAGCUUGAGGCAUUGAGCAUUGCGGGAUUGAGAACAUUCUGUCUGAGUUACAAGGUUCAAUGGCCAUUAUCACUUGUUAUUUUGAGAGAAGCUUUAACAUAGUCUCAGUUGAUUUGUCCAGGCCUGUUCCGGCCCAAAACUGUGUGGCAUGGCAAGUACAUCAAAUCGAGAAGCUGAAACCAGUAUGCUUCAAUAUGCAACAAUGCAACUGUUGAUACUGCCGAUCUAUAUACCCGAGCCAGAUGCUGCUGCUGGCUCUUUUGGAUCCGAAAGAUCAAAGCUGAGGAGAUCACAGAAUAGGAGCCAGCAAUCGAAGCUUGCAGCCGAGAACACCAUAAUUUAUGAUUCAGUCAUGUAUUAACCUCAGUUAUCAGGCUAAUGCAAAGAAUCCAGAUGGACAAUUUAGUUCUUUCACAUUUUGUGACUUGCAUUUGCUUCAUGUGUUGCAGGAAAUUUUACAAGGAAUUCACUGCGGAAAUUUUGUAAUGAUAAAUUUGCCCGAAAAUGUAGUUAUAUUUUAAAGACACUGACACAAUUCAGCUGAAUUAGUCAACCUUUUCCGUUGACAAUGUUUUCGGUUUUUGCUUUUUUUCCCCAUUUUUAAUCAACUUACACAGAGCAUAUUGCGACAUGUAAAAACAAGAGAUGGAUUAUUUGAUGAAUAUGUUUCUCCAUGCAAUCUUCACAGCAAGCUCAUUUCCGUUAUUUCUCAAAUGGCUUACUCAUGCCAUGCAUCACAGAUUCACAUACAUUCAUAAAAAUACCGUCAGGUUUCGGUCAGCUGGUAUCAAAGUAGGAUUUCUCUUUUACAUCUUGAGGAGUUUGGGUGCAACAGACAUGCCACAUACAUCUGAAAGUCAGGCUGUGAUGUAAACGUCCCGUGAAGAGAAUAAAAUAACUAAAUUUAUGAUGGAAACCAUUAUGGGGUCAUGGAUCAGCUGAAAACUACGAACUAGUAUAAUUCAGUGGUAACUCUUAAUAGGCGAACCUAAGCAGCCCCUAUUUGCAGCAACUUAUGGUUGAGGAGCUUUUUUUUCCUCCAUUAGCUGGUUAAACUAUUUAACCAGCUAAAUCAGGGUAAAGAAAUUACAGGCUUCGGUAAAAAAAAAAAUUCAAAAAUAAAAGGAAUAUGGCAUUUUUGUCUUGAGAAUGCAUGUACAUUUUCAGGCCCUGCAUGCUUGUGCUCAAGUAGCAGACAGGCAUGUUUGCUUGCUCACCAAGUCCCCCUUACCUACAGCACCCUGAUCAGCAUCCAUCCCCAGAGUCCGACGCUCAGACAGCAGGCACUGAUAUGAAAGUGCUAGCUGUGACCUUGCUUUUCACCACGCAAUGCAUUAUAUUCACUUCCAGAUGCUAUAUAAACAUGAAGUGCCAAGUUUGACGCCUUGCAAAUGAAGUUAUUACCUGCGUCAAAUCAUUCUAUUUAAUCACCACCUUGUUAUGGUUUUCAUUCGAGUUCUCCCUUUCACUGCUCCUAUUAUGGCUAGGAAUUCCAAAAUUGUUUCUUCCCAAAGCUCAUCCUAAGAC